AGCAGCCGCGGUAAUUCCAGCUCCAAUAGCGUAUAUUAAAGUUGUUGCAGUUAAAAGCUCGUAGUUGAAUUUCGGGGUUCUACCGUUGGUCGGGCAAUAGUCUGUACUGGCGUGUGGAAUUUCUACCUUCUGGGGAACUAUCAUGUUAUUUAUUUAGCGUGGUAGGAAACCAGGACCUUUACCUUGAAAAAUUAGAGUGUUCAAAGCAGGCUUACGUCUGAAUACAUUAGCAUGGAAUAAUAAAAUAGGACGGUGGUCCUGUUUUGUUGGUUUCUGAAUCACCGUAAUGAUUAAUAGGGAUAGUUGGGGCAUUAGUAUUCAAUUGUCAGAGGUGAAAUUCUUGGAUUUAUUGAAGACUAACUUCUGCGAAAGCAUUUGCCAAGGAUGUUUUCAUUAAUCAAGAACGAAAGUUAGGGAUCGAAGACGAUCAGAUACCGUCGUAGUCUUAAC
rnacentral:rRNA from 1 species